GUCGUUACAGAUAGACCUGUUGAGGCCUGUGUUGCCACAAAGGAAAGCAAAGCUGAAUAAUGUGCUGCUAAGCACCUUGAAAGAGCAAAGUGUGUUGCUCAGGUAACCAGUGGCACUGUAAUUGUUUUACUGCACAGUUCAUU